rnacentral:rRNA from 1 species
CCUACGGGACGCAGCAGUGGGGGAUAUUGCACAAUGGGGGGAACCCUGAUGCAGCGACUCCGCUUUUUUUAAGAAGCGCCCCGGCGUGUAAAGCCCUGUCAGCAGGGAAGAAGAAGGACGGUACCUGACCAAGAAGCCCCGGCUAACUACGUGCCAGCAGCCGCGGUAAUACGUAGGGGGCAAGCGUUAUCCGGAUUUACUGGGUGUAAAGGGGGCGCAGACGGCGAUGCAAGCCAGGAGUGAAAUCCCGGGGCCCAACCCCGGGACUGCUCUUGGAACUGCGUGGC